GAAAUGUUCUGAUUUAGUAUCUGUUCUUACACAUGCAGAAGAAGGAGAACAACUGUGCUGUAAAAAAAGGACAAUUACCAGUUGAAAGGAGAGGGAGCUGCAGCUAGUAACACAGAGUAUUUCCAGACACAUCAAAUGCAUCAGUAAGUGGAAGCCAAGGCAUAAACCAAAAUUUUGAGCUUUCUCUCAUGAAUGUGUCCAUUUCUCCAGAGGUGCUUAAGAAACAACCCUCUGCAGUAGAUACUCUUUCCCAUCCCAGAAAUGCAGGCAUGGUGUGACAGCAGAGGCCUUGCAGAUGGGAACAGUACGGAGCACAGAGGUGUACAGACCUGGGAUAAUAUGAUGAAGGAAGUAGGUUGGCAUUGGAGACCACAGGACUUUAAAUAACAUGCCAAUGUCACCUAAAAGAAUGCUGACUGGAAACUUGAGCACAACCAGCUAUAGUAGUAAUAAGCAACAGCUAUCCAACAAGUGUAAAAUACACCGUAUAGAGCAAAUUACUUCUUAACUGUUUCACGCCAGUAAAGAAGCUGGGAGCAAACUGUAGUGGUGUGUUACACAGAUGCUGCUGUGGAAAGGGUAAUGUCUUUAUUUGUUCAGUGAUAUAUGUAUUCUCUCAUGAACAACCACAAUGAGAGGAAAUGCAUUUGGGAGGAGGACUAGCCUGAAGCCUAUAUUGGCAACAUUGCUAGCAAACCAGAACAUCAUCAUGCCUUAUGGUCAGGAAUUGAAGCAGAGGAAACGAAGUGCAUCAAAGUGCCCGGGCAUACGUACAUAGAAGCAUUAUCUAGACCGUUAACCCCUCUCCAGAAAAGUUUGUGUUUGAGAUUCAAGAAAGACAAGGAACUUCUAUAGAGUCCAGCUGAGAGCCACAAAGAUGAUUAGGGGCCUGGAGCUCCUCCCUUAUGAGGAAAGGUUGAGAGACCUGAGUUUCUUCAGUUUGGAGAAGACUUCAGCAGAAUCCCCCAAAGUUCUCAACAGUGACCUUCCAGUCACGGGAUUUAUUUGAGAUAAAAUGUGCCACAAAUGAGAAUAAAGAAGCUGAAGUAAAGACAGAUCAUUGGAAUCUGACAUACAUAUGAAUACAUAAAGCAGAGAUGGACUGCGCUGUUAAGAAUUUCAGAAAGAAGGGCUCACCAAGACAUCCUAGGAGCUCCUGCCAGCUGUGUCUCUUUAAACUCCAGGGAGCUGAAGUGGUGAGAAAGAGUUAUGAAAGAGUUACCAGGACUGGGUAAGAUGUUACAGCACAAUGGGGCCAGCUGGUGCAGCAGGUAACCCUCUGAGAUGCAAAGGUCAAUCCCACCACAGCAUCUGCAGAAUUUGCACUAUAAGCGAGGCCCCUUCCAGUGGAUUGAAUACUGUGAAUACUCUCCUGCUCUCACACAAUUUUUGGGACUUGGAAGGGAACAGCUUUUGGAAUACUUGCAAUACUCCUUUUUUUUUCUAUUUUUUUUUUUUUUUUUCUUUAAGGAGCUGAGGGGUGAAGGUUAUUUGCAGUGAGUUUCUGAAGAGGAGUCCUGUUGACAGGAUUUGUGCUACCCUUCACACAACAGAAGGGGAAGAGUAUGUGAGAGAUGGGAGUAAAUGUCUCUGCGUAUGGUGCUUUGAGAGAGAGAACUCCAGCUCAGCCAGGGAAAUAGUCUUUGGCUUACUAAUCCACUGAGAAUCCACUCUUCUCUCUCCUUUCCUUUUCAUUAGUUUAUGUACAUCAGCUCUCAUCAUGUUUACCUGCGAAGUGGUUUCAGUAUGACUGCUAUCUUUGUAGCUUUUUCUAUAAACACUUCAAGCCUUGCCGUAUAGCUCAGAUGGAAGCUAAAUAAGCAUUCAAAUGAAACAAAACUCCUCAGGAGAUCUUGCUGCCAGGACAUAAGUUGUGCAGUCAGGAAAAAAUAGCCAAAGUAUGAAGCUACGGGCCAUGCCUUCUGCUAACAGAGACACUGGUGUUUCCCUUGACUGUUUUGAAAUGAGGCCUGAGCCAAGCAUUCUCCACAUGGCUUCAAGUGGGAAUGCAUCUUAUUGCUCAAGAUGCAAAAAAAAAUUGAGUGAUUUACUCACUUCUAAACUUACACUGCACAUCUACCAUUAAUCAUGCACAAUCCACAACAAUGUCACUCUCUUUGUUCACUGCAGUGAAAGUACCAAUGUAUCAUAUAUUCAAAUUACAUUGUGUGCUUGAGGGAGCUCACAAUCCCCUGCAAACUUCUGUGGUAGCAUGGUUUGCAAGCUCCACACGCUACAUGUGAACUAUUUAUUGUGUGUGUGACUGCAAGCCUAAAUCCCUGCCUGGGAUUAUCUGAAAACUCUGGAACUUGCCAGCAAGAAAAUUUACAGCUGAACAAUUAUAUUGUUGAAACUCUGACAAAUCCACCCCAGUUUAUGACUUUGAAAAUAGGACUAGGUGUGAGCAACUGAAUAGAUUAUAUACUGUAGCACGGCCUCCUGGGUGUUGCAAUAUAGAAUCUGUUUACUUUGACUGACAAUUUUCAUUUUCUUUUCUUCCAGACAUUAUUGCAGCAAAUGAUCUCUCUGCUCAAUACGGACUUGUUCCUCAAAAAAUGGUUUAGGUAUUUGGAUAAACAUCGUCUGAACAAGUUUUUUCUUAUUAUGAUUUUUGGGAAGUAAUCCAGCAAUAAUACAGUUGACAGGCAACAUGAUGAGUAAAAGCAAGUAGCCGUGCAUUAUAUUAGUACAUCAGACUACAUCAACUUCCAGAACUUCUUUUCAAUAUAAAAAAACUAAAGGUUUAAAAACUCGGAGUCUGAGCACAAAGGAGAGCCUUUUCCCCUCUCACUAUGCUGUAAGCAGAAAUUUAAACCUCUCCAAAUAAACAAGUGACUUCUAGCCAAGAGUGAAAUAAAUCUCACUCAAGCACAGAACGAUGUUCUUUCUACUUAGAGCACUUACGAAGUACAAGAUUUGUUGUUAAAACCAACAGUAAUACGUACAGACAGAACAAGAGCAAGGAUACGGACUGAUCAAAUCAUUUUCCUUAUAUAUUGGUACCAGAAACUGGAAAUUCAUUAAAAUUUUCUACUUCCUUCAGAAAUACCAGUUGUCGAAUGCAAGAACAGGUGGAAAUGACUGUUGGUUAUCAUGUGGUAAACUGGUAUGUUAGCCUAAAGAGUCAUAUUUUUCAUAGUUACAGAGGAGAAAAAGUAGAAAAGCAAAGUUUCUUUUCCAGAGCAUUCUCUGAAUGACAAAUAAAACAUUCUUUUUCACACUCAGGCAAAAACAAGUAGCAUGUUGUAUAUAAAGAAGACUGAGAGUUGGGAGUUUUAUUAAGUGUGCUUGAGUUGUGAAAUGCAGAAAUAUGCAACUGUUACCUUUAAUUUCGUGAACAUGAGGAGGCAGAUACAAGUUUUAUGUAUCUUAGUUCUGCCAUUUGUAUUUCUGAAUACUGGAAAUAGGUGGUCUCUCUGUUUUUCUGUAGUUUCUUUUAGCUACUGCUAAUAUUUAUUCCUGAAAGAGAAAGUUGCUUACGUUUUUGAUAUACCUAUUUUGUACUUUACUGUGCUUGCCCUGCUCUUGGAGUGGGCACUGUACUUUCUGAGAAUAUUAAGAUGAAAAUUCCACCUUGUUUAAGCUGGGGAGGGAUAAUUUCUCUGCAGUACUACUGAAGCGACUUCAAAGCUUAUAUUCGGAGGGCCAGUGAAGUCUCAUAAUAAACUGCAGAUUCUCUAGUGCCUUUGUGUCUACCAGUAGUGGACUUCACUGUGCAGCAGAAGGAGUGACAGGAGUCCUGAGUGCAGGGGAUGGGUACACUCUGAACACUGCAAAACCUGCUGAGAUUGUUUCUGAGGAAACUUAGAAAACAACCCAGAGAAGGCUAAGGUUCACAUCCUUGCUGUGCUUUUGCUCUGAUAAAAAAAAAAAUAUGGGGGCAACAAAGACUGAUUUACUCUUCACUCCUUGUCUUCCCACUGUAGUUGCCCAUGUGCAGGCUCUCUCCUGCUAAGUGUCAGCUGUGUGCUCUGGUCUAAGAGGAUGUAGCCACUAGGCUGAAGGAAACACUCUGUGCCAGUACCUCCUACUCUAUUGCUGGUUUCCACCUCCAGGGAGGUUUCCAUUCCUGUUACAUUAUGGCUCUGUGAUCUCCCAUUAGAAAGAAAUCCCCAGAAAUUAAAUUAAGACAGAACUGGUACAAUUACAGCACUUGCAAAAGCUCACAUUUCUUUAUCUCCCUGGAUUGAUGUUUAUUUAUGUUUCAUGAUGUAAAUGGGACUAGAGAUUUAGGCAAUAGUUUACAUCUUGUAAAUAAAAAUGUAUAGGCAUGUGACACUCACAUCAUAUUUUCACCUUUGUUAGAGACCAUAAAGCACUGGAAGAAGAGAAGAAGGGAUAGGUCACUCAGUGAUCUUUUCAGGCAAUGUCUUCAACAACUCACUGCCAUGUGACAAUUUUCAAGGGUCAUGCUUUUAUAGUUGUCCCUGCUGGUGAACAUUUUGUGCUAAAUCUGGCUGACACUUUGCUGAGAACUGGACAGAAAAAAGGCAUAAGCAGAUCAGAAGUAGCUUCUUAUUUUCAGCUUAAAGCUUGAGUAAACUGAAAAAAGUUUCCCCACUAAGAAUCUGUUUCAUCUGAAAUUAUUCUAUUGUCUCAACAAGUACUCUGCAUUUCAAGCAACUCUGCAGGAACCACAAAUAAUUUACUUCAUAAUGGAAAGAAAGAAAAGGUUAGUGGGGAAGUAAGUGAACUUGUCUCCACAAGAGAAUUAUCUUGUCCUUGACAGCCAUUUUCUUUGCAUCUUCCCCAAAAUUUUCUGGAUGGAACAAAGAGAGGGUGCUCAGGCAAAAACAGAGACUUGUGCACUCAGUUUUUCCUGACUUUUGUUCUCCCUAGAUUCCUUACCAUUCUUUCUUUUCCCAACUUCAAGCGCCAUUAAGAAGGAAGAUACAAUUAGAGACUGUAUGUUUUAUCCUGCUUGUAUCUCCCACAAGUUGCUGAAGUUCAGGCUUCAUGAGUGAGCAGAGUCAGAGAGAGCGAGUCAUCACAGUCCAGUGGUUUUGAAUUUGAUGUAUGUAAUUUAUGGCAACAGCUAGCAACAGAUGUAGUGUAGUGAUCUGCUGAGAGUCUUUAUGAAUAGUGUCUUGUUCUGGAGCAAGAGGUUCUGGAGAAUCUACCUAAGAGCUAGACAGUAUUUAAAUCUUGCCAUUCACAUCUGAAAGUCCGUCCUCUCUUUGACAUCCCAUGUCAGCUCCUUAAAUCAAAACUCAUGCACUCAGGAAUGAAGUAAAUAAAUUAUAAGCUUUAUUGAUUGUGUCUGCUGCGUGAAUGUUCUUUAGAAUUGACUAAGCCGUCCAAAGCAUUGUCCCAACAUGGAUCAGGCUCUUCAUAAAUCCCGACAUGGCUGCUCAGAGGGAACAGAAAUGUUUUCUUUGGUGGAUCCAAGGUUCUGUCAGGGAAGGUUUUGAUCUCCACAGCUUUACAACAUCCAUAUGGUGAGGAAUAAAUUAGCUGGCUCCUUCAGUGGGAUAUGGGAUCAGUUUUUUAGAUUGGACAGAAGCCCACUAUGAUACAGUUUUUUUCUUCUUUCUAAUGAAUAUCAGUGAAUUCCACAUGAUGUUUGGAACCAGAAACCCCGUUUGUCUCUCGCUUAGUCUGUUCUCUCAUCCAUAUGACUUUGUUGACUUCAGCUAAAUUACUGGUAUAGAAGUGUCUCAGACUUCUCUGCCAGCUAAUGGAAGUAGUGAUGGUGGUCACUGAUUUGAGGUUAUUUUGCUGGGGGAGGGACUGUUCUUUGCUUUUGCUUGAGAGCAAGGAGCUGUGGUAAAUCAUAGGCAUGUUUCUUGGGAUGGAGAUAAUAAAUCACUCUUCCUAGGUGAAAUCUUUUAUUUAUGCAUUGGGAUUCCAUUUCAUCGAAGAAAGGUAUGUUCUUUUGGCUUCAGCUAGGCUGCACUUAAGCAAGUGAUUCAAAUCAAGCUGACACUUACUAGUGAGCAUGUUGAACACUUUGCUCUCAGAUGGUUCACUGUGCUGCCAUGCCACCAUCCUCUCUUCUUCACAGAUGUUUGUUCUCCUCUAGUUUCAUCUGGAAGAAAAAUCACUUCCUCCUCCCCAUGUCAGUGGGAAUUCAACUGCAAAGGAUACCUUGAUUUUAGGGACAGUGGGUCACUCUGACCUGCAAAAAAUUGAAGGAGAGAUGAAAAUAUCUUUUAUUUAUAAGUUGAUGCCUAUUUGCAAAAAAUAACCUCAAGUCUAGAACAACAACAACAAAAUAUAGGAAAUUCUUUACACAUAGAAAGUUCUGAAUGCUGUUCCUGUCUCUAGGAGUACUCUAAGUCAGUCACUAAGUCAAUACCAGUCCUUUGCACUGCCUGUCACCUGGCUAGAUUGAUGUACCCAUAUAUUGCACUGAAAAAACAUGGUUCAGAAACAUGAACCUGCAAAUAAGGAAGUUUUGCUGCCAGAAAAGAAGAAAGCAGUUUUAGAAUUUCACAUGGCUUCUUGGUUAAAUUGUAUUUAUUUACAUCUAGAAUGAGGUGCACCAUCUCAAUUUACCAGAUAAGUAAGUGGAGUGUUAUAUGACAUGCCAGAGUAGAAAAAAAAGAGGCUGUAGACAUGAGGAGUCAUAGGAACUGGUAAUCUUCAGAAGAUACCUCGAGCCUCUGUUCAAACUGAGUGUUCCAGUGGUACAAAGCAUCUCAGCAUGCAGGCUACAUGUCACAGUGGAAGGCUGAUCGCUCCUAGGCAUAUCAACCUGCAUGUCUCUAGAUGACCCAUAAGAUACCAGGGAUCUUUGGAUGAAUGCAGUAUUGUGCAGUCAUUCACACUUCUGUGGCAGAGACCCAUUGCACUGGCCACUUCUUACUGCUGACAACACAGCUUUCAGCUUGCUUUCAAGCUUAGAACAGUAGAAAACGGAGGCCACUGAUUACAAAGCUCUGAUUAUUUUCUUAAUUCAGCUUACUUUUUGCCUUCACGGGGCGUUUCCUACACUAAGUAGAGGAUGAAGCUUGCUGUUUCUAAAAUGUAAACUUGGGCAUCACAGUCAAAAAUAGAAUGCCUGCAGAAAGGAAACAAACACUAUUUGUAGCAUGAAUUAGUAUGUGCUGGAGUUUGAAGGCUGAAGUAAUAUUUAUAUGCAUAGAGGGACUAUGUGAAUUCCUGACCUGGAAAGGUGAUCCUGCCAUUUAACCAUUUAUGCAUUGCUAAUAAACAGUGGAAGAAAAAACUUAAACUAACAAAAAUAUAAUCCAGUUUCUUUUCAUUAAACAUUAUAUGAGGCUCUCUCUGAAAGUAAUGCCUCCUAUUCAUUUCCAUGGAAACUACAACGACUACAAAAGGCACAAUAACAUUAUUUGGUAGAACAAAUUCUCAGCUACAAAACACUGUUUUUCAACAUACUCACCACCAUUAGCUGAUUCAUGCAGAUGAGCUGAUAGGGACACCUUUUAUUUUGUGUUAUAACACUUGUGUGUGGCAGUCUGGGACGUGUCUUGUCCUUCAUGUUGCUGUUUCUAUUGCAGAAACACACCACCCAGACCUUGCUGUGCUCAAUUCCACUGUUGGGUCUCCAUUCUCUUUCAGCAAGCACUGAUAAAUGUCGGUGCAAUUCUUUCUGCAUGGAGAAAUUCAGUACCACGCCAUUGCUUCAUAUAUACUUCCAUGUCAGACUCCAUUUUGACAGACUGCCCCUCUGCUGCCACCUGUCACAAGGCAACAACAUGGAAUGGAAUAAUGUUGGGAAAGUCCAACCUUUACUGCCAACAUCUGCUUCUGAUGUUGUGGGCCAACAUGAUGGAACAGAAGGCAUUAUUAUUGGAAUGACCCUCAAAAUAAUCAUAAAAAGAAAACAAAGGCAAGGAUAAUGUUUCUUCCUUUCCUUUCACUUUUUACUGUGCUGUAAUAUAUCCAGUGUUUGCUGAAUAUGCCAAAUAUUUUAAGACAUUAAUACAUCUACAAAAUAUGUAUAAAAAAGUAACUACCAAACCUUUCCAAACAAGCAGUCCCUUAUCCUCUACUGUGGAAGACAGCGAGGCUUUGUUGAAAGAGAGACAGAACAAGUUUCCCAGUCCAUAGUUCACAGGAGAAGGUGUCUGGCCACAAACACUUUACCCAGGAAAGUCACAGGUAAACUAGUCAACUGUACUCACAGUGAUAUGAGUACAGUGUGGGAAUCUUAUUAAGCAAGAGGAAGCUGGGCAGUAUGGAUUACACGAUCAGCUCCAAAUUGAUCUGAAGACCUGCUAGAAAUAGAGGAAAAUCAUUUCUCAUGGACUUCAGUAAUCUAGUUCUGUAUCUAGUUUUAGGGAAAAUGGGGCAUGGAAAUAACUUUAGGAAAGGCUGACAAUGAUCAAUUCCAUGGGCUAAUAUGAGCCAGAAUAUCCUCUCAAAUGCUAAAACAGUCUGCGUCAAAAAAAAUGAAAGGAUCUUGGGGCUGCUUCAGUCUUGGUAAGAAACUGUAUUUCUACAUACAUAGAGGAUGUUUCUAUAUCAUUUACCACCACUUUCCAAAUUCUCUAACAACACAUACGCUGAUUUACUAGUGGCUCUUUGUUCUUAACAUCCUUGUCAUUUUCAGACAGACAACAUUCAGCUGAAAUCAGUGGAGACACGGCAAUGGAAUGGGUUGUUCCCAAAGCAGUAGAAAGUAUUGCAAAUAGGAGCACAUCAGCUAGAAUACAAAAUGUGUGUUGUGUUAUGAUUACACUACUGAGGCUAAUUCCUCUAAAUCACUACAUUUGUGGUUUUGUUCAUGCUUUGCUAUUAAUAGCAAUGUCUGUCUAUAUGAUUGUAUUGAUAGCAGCAUUAUUUGAGAAGGAAUUUUUUACUAUCAAAUAUAAAUAUAGCAAGUGUUCAUUUUUUAAUUACAUAUAGCAUUCAGAAAAGUGACACAUUAUUAAGAAAGGUCAUUGAUCACUCCCAGGAUAUGGCAGUAAAAUAUAUAGUAUGGACUAAAAUUAAAAUUUGUUUUAGAGCAGUGCAAUGUGAAGUAGUGCAAAACAAAACCAAACCAAAAAUAAAAAUGGUGCCUUAAUUAACAAAAUAGAUGAAUAGAUAAAGGAUGAAAAUUAUAAUCUUAUAUCUGAUGAUGGUGUGACUAGAUUCAGAAACAGAGUUGCAAACAGUCCUUAUUCUUUGUAAGAUUGGAACAUGAUGGUAGACCAGUAGACAUUUCUAAGGUUUUCAUGACUUGAUGAAAAAAGGUAUCGGCGAGGUUAUGGGUCAACAAAAUGUUGUAGAUGCCAGAUCCGAUAAAAAAAUUUUUGGACUUUAGUUGAUUUUGUUGUUUUGGCAACACUCGAUUAACUCUGAGAUUGUGCCAAAGAAGUUAAAAUCGAUUCCUCCCACCUUGCUGUUUUACUCAUUCAGAUCAGUAACAUACGUCUGCUUUGAGGUCCUGAUUCUGCACCCUCUGUUUCAAAAGGAGGUUUUGUCCUAUUAGCAGCAUGUGUGACCACUACCAAGAAUUUGAUGAGCUGAAGAAACUUUUCUGGUGAGAUCACAGUCAGGCAUAUAUGAUCUCAAAAUGUUUCAUGUCUUCCUAAAUAGAUAUGCUGGUUCUGAAUUACUUUUAACAUUCCAAAUAUCUUCACAGCAUAUAAAGGUGGGAAAAACUUAAAAAGCCAUUUGCAAACUAACAAACAUUAAAUGAAAACAGAAAAGCAUUCCCUUGAAUUUCCUUCUCUACUUUCACUUUUAUUGUAUUCAGUACUUCCAAUGACUUUUUUUUUUUUUUAAUAUAUUGUAUACUACAGUUUAAAUAGUGUGUUUACUUUCCAUUCUCGAUCUGCAGCAGCUCCUUGCAGCAGCUACAGCCAUUUUUUUACAUAGGCAAUGAGUAUUCAGAAGUGUACCUUUUCUUGUUUAACACAACCAUGCAGCUGGAAGCAAGGAAUUAAAACAGUUCUGUGUGAUCAGCAUGUUGUCUGCAAAAUGUGUGGAUAACUCCUGCCAGCUUGCAUAAAAAUAUCUGCUUUUUGAAGAGCAGCAGAAGGCCAAGGCAGGGCCUCAAAGUAGUCUACAGUGCAAGAACAAAAGUAAAAUCUUAAAAUUAGGACUGGGGAAGGAAAAUUGUUAGCUUCUUCUUCUAAAGAAAAGGGAUAUUUCAGAGCAGCUGUGAAGCAAGACAGCUUAGAAAGAAAAUAUCUUUUUACUUGUUGGAAGUUUAUUAGUGCUAUAUUGACAGCCUUCUGUUUAACAAUUGCUGUUAUUUGUUCAGGUUGGUUUUCUUUCCUCUUCCCGGGUAGGAAUUUUGAAAAGAUUCUCCUCAUCUCCCCAGAUCAUGCUGGGUAUUUGGGCAUCUCAGAGAGACCUUCUGGCUGGGGAGCCAGCCACGGCCCUCGGACCAAGAAAGCACACAGGCUGAUUGGGGUGCCAGGGUCUGACACAGAUUGACUCCAUGACUCCGUGACACAGAUUGACAGAUGAGACAUGCAUGACUCCAUGUCCACAUGGAAGAUGGGGGAGCCCGUGGGGCCUGGCAAGCAGCAGCACUGAGGGAUGUAUUCAAGACCUGCUGGAGAAAAAACGGCAGUUUGUAUUGUUAGUAUAACCUUUAGAGGGGCUGUGUGGGGCGGCAGAAUUCUUAUUUCCACUCUGUAAAACACAAGAUUAAGAGCAUAAUGAGCUCUAUUAAAGCAUCAGACAGCACAUGGAUAAUUAGAAGAUCCAUCUUUAUUAGGCAAGCAAAAACAAAUGCAUGUUAUAAACCCUAAUGCUCUAGAGCAAAAAAUCACUUGCUAAUUAAGGAGGUGGGAUGGAGGGCAGGAGCAAGCAUCACUGGAGGUCAGGUUACCCUGGGUUAGCCUGCUAAAUGGCUGUUGCACCUUCCUCUUAAGCAGAAGCACUCCAUGAGGUUUGUAUAGGACAGCGGAUUUUUCACCACUGUGAUCAACAUUUACACCUUAAGUACCUGCACUGAAACAAUCUAAGGGCUACUGCAGUUGAUUUACUGAAUCCUGGUCUUACAUGUCAAGAAAACCCUCUCCUCUCUUUAAUGUGCGUUCUUUCACCGUUCCCUCCUCUCUCACAUUCUUCAUCAGAGAUGACUUAUUCCUGGAAAUCACUGAAGUAUUUCUGUGAAGACUCGUUGAUUAGGUUGUGUGAAGUAAUCAUUGUUUUUUGACGCAUUCAUGGAAGGACAGUAUUUCUGCAUUUUCCUCAAAGCCUACUGUGCUGUGCACUCAUAAAAGUGUUUCUUUGAGAAUGUUUAAAUGAAAAUCUAUUUCCAUAUAUGAAAAAAACCGAACAGUAGAGUCAGUGGAUUCAUCUGCUGUUCUAAAUUUCCUCACACUUGACUUGAAGGUGUUUGUUAUAAUUUAGAAUUGAACACAAGAAGAAGUCAAUGAAUAUUCAGGUGUGAUGGAGGAAUUUCUUAAAAAAUACCAGCACACACCUGACUUGGUCUUGCAGUUCAGCCUUUCUGACAUCUUGGGAAAGCUAGCAGAGGAGGUCAGUAGCUGUACAUUGGCUUUGAAGAAUUUCCUGCUAGUUUUAGAUCAGUAAUUUAUAGAAGAGUACAAGAGGCUGCAGGAGCUGGACGUCUGACUUUUCUUUCAUAUGAGCUUUUGCUGUAUCAGCUCAUCCAAAAAAACAAACAUUAGUGAGUUGAGGAAGAAAUAAUAAAGAAGAGCUCCCAUACAAGGAGGGAGGUGAACUUUGCCCAAGGUGAAGUGUUGCAUCCUGUUGGUCUUGGACCCAGAAAUGGAGACCCUCAAGUGUGGCAGGCCUACUUGGGGUGCUAUCAUGACAUGCUGGUAAGCAAUCAGCAUAGUCAUUUUGUUCCAGAUGUCCAGAUGUCUUCACUGCUGACUUUCCUAUCCCUCUCCACUUUGAUGGCACCAUUCACAGAGCCUUUGUUUCAUCAGUAGAGAGGGGAUUAGUCGCCUGCAGAACUGACUGCUAUCUUCUCAGCUUUUUGUCAGCAGCUGACAUCAGACUUAGAAAAGAUCUUCUGUCCAGUUUUGAAGAGGUCAUCCUCUCCUUUCAGAAGGUCUUGACAAGCAGAAGUGUUCAUUGCCUUUCUUAAGUCAAGGCUACACCUGUCUUCCACAGAUGAAAAUCCUUCCUAGGGCCAUUUUGAAAGCUGCAACCCAUUCAUUUCAUAAACGCACACCUUAUUCUGACCCAAUAAAACAUCACAUCAUUUCUAUCCCCCUGGAAGAGUCUUUAGAAAAUAAAGUAACAGCAAUCCAAGGCAAGAGAGAACUUGUACCUACAUGCUAGCCCUCUUUAAUGGGAUCAGAUAUAAUUAGGUGCAAUUUUUUCAAAAGUUACAAAGGGAUUUCUCAUAUUUGAAGGAUCCAACUGGGAUGCCUCAGAGGCCAUUCACAUUAAGUGUCAGUUAGCUGCAACUUGGAGCAGGCUACUCACUGAGAUAUAGGAACUACAUAGUUAUAGUAGUUAUAGUGUAUGUUCCUGUAUAGGAACUAUAAAGUUAUGCAAAGACUUAAGCCUUAAUGGCAUCUGAGAAAUCAACUAUAAUCUUUUUGUACCAAACUGUGUUGCAGAAACAAGUAAACAAAGAGAAGGGGCAAUUUCAGGCGACAAAUGUGGGCUCUGGUCUGUCCUUUCAUAAUUUUAAAAAUACAUAUAUUUUUAAAGAAAGCCUGUUGUGUCCACCUCUGUGUUCCUCUUGUAGUAGGGAAAAUAACUUUUUACACAGGUAGAUAGUGAUGGGACAAAGGGGAAUGUUUUCAAACUAAAGGAGGGGAGAUUUAGAUGAGAUAUCAGGAGAAAAUUUUUCACUUAGAGCACUUCACUUAGAGCAUUAGGCACUAAUGUUGCCCAGAGAAUCUGUGGAUGCCCUGUCCCUGGAGGUGCUCAAGUCCAGAUUGGAUGGGGCCCUGGGCACCCUAAUCUAGUGCCUGAUUUAGUGGCUGGCAACCCUGCCUGCAUCAGUCUGAUUGGAAUUAGAUGAUCUUUGAAGUCCCUUUCAACCCAAGCCAUUCUAUGAUUCUAUGACAUGAACCAAGCACUUACCUUGCAAGUGGCAAGGUGAUUUUUUUUUUUUUCUUAUUAUUUGCAAACUUUUUGCCACUUUCUACAUGGGAAAGAGUGUCCAGAAAUUUUCCUUAACCUUGUCGUACCACAGCUAAUAUCCUUCAGACAAUAGCUGAUCUGAGUACAUCAUGGAGAUAACAUGGUUCCAGCCAAAGAGUUGCUUCCAAAGUUAGAUGCUAUGGGUGUUAAGGAAAUUUUGUUUCUAUUUGUUUCUAUAGCCAGUUUUACAUGCAAAAAAAAGAUAUGCUGUGAAAUUAAGGCUGAGGGAGAAUGAAAAUUCACAAACUAUUCCCUUGCAGGAAUUGUAAACUCUACAGAAAGGUAGAUAAAAGGAAGCAAGACUGAUGCUUAAUGCAUGACGGACAGAAGACUUGGCUUUCAUCAGCAGCUUUGACUUGCAGCCAUCACAGACGUUUCUGAAGAGAUCUUUCGUGGUGUUGGAACGGGCAAGGCACACUGCAAAUCUGUAGGGUUAGAUACUAGCCCAGUAUUUCUAUUCAGCAAGAUAAUGGAGAUAACAGAAUUUUAAGUAAAGCUCUUUCCUCAUAAUUUAUGUGGUUUUGUAGGAAAAAAAAGCCCUAUCCUCCUCAAUUUUUGCAGGCAGGACCAUAGGAUAUUGCAACGCUACAUAUAUUUCUAAUGUUUACAUAUAAUGUGAGCUGAGAACAGGCUCCAGUUCUCCAGAGGAUUUUACAGCUUGAUGACAUCUUCAUUGUUGUUAUUACUCAUUACAAACAGAUUUCUGGGAGUGAGGUCACUCAAUGGCAAACCCAUGACAAAUGCUUCCCAAAACGCAUGUCUGGAGAAACCCCAUGGAUGCAACAAGUUUCUGUAAACAAGAAAGAAACAGAAGAAAAUGGCGUUGUUGGGGAUUGCAAAACCUGGAACUUUUUCCUUCCCCUGUUUUCUGCUGCAUGUCUCACAUCUAAAAUUAUCAAACAUCUUUUAAAAACAGCAAAUUAUUUAUCCAGAAUUUAACCUCAUGUUAAAAACAAACAAACAAACAAAAGAAAACAUGAUCACAUGCAAUAAUUCCAGUUUUUCCUUUCUUUAGAACUUGAAAAAGAAAAUAAAAAUUAAUGGAUGCACCAACCUGAAAAGAACCCAUGAGUACUGACUGUGGACAGCAGCACUUGUACCUCUGUUCUGUAUUUAGAAGCAGUGGUUUCCAGACAAGCCUUCAGCUCACACAGAUGUAAGCUAUUUUCUUAGUGACUGGAAGUCAAACAUAUGUUCUACAUCACGGGCCAUGUUCACCCUACCCAGUUUCAGGCACUUGACUUGAAGUAUCUAAUUUAGAGGCUUCCUCACCACAGGAACAUUAUUGUAGAGAUGGAAGAUAGCUGGUCUCCUUUCAGAUUUGAAUUGUACUUGAAUAUGUCCAAUUCAUUUAAUCAGUUAUUAUCAUGUCUUUCUGAAUUCUCUGACUUCCCUGAAAGUGAGAUGGUUGAUAACGGAAUAGAUCCCAGAAUGGCCAUCAGGACCUUCCACUGACUGAGAGAGGAAACAGGAACAAUGAAGAGAAUGAAAAUGGAGGAGAAAGUCUAUCUCUGACAUCCUAUUGUAUUCUAGCCAAUCUUAAAAGAGUUUGCUAGAAGAAAAUAAUCUGAGUAAGACUCAUGUGAGCCCAAGCAGGAUGUAUGUUUGACGUUUAAAUAAUUUUGCCAUUACGGAGAACCUGCAGUUUACACCAAACCCUGUGUCAGCAAGGUAAAAACUCACAUUCAUUUUUUUAUAUCCUUGAAAAUAUGCCUGGAAUGUCGCUUGGUAACGAGCUCAUCCAAUGACAAUUGUAACAGACUUUUGUGCCUACAGGAUUUUUCUGUUGAAAGCGCUAGAAU